AUAAUACCGGAUAUCGUGGGGCCCUGCAUAGGGCCUUGACAAAAGAUUUAUCGGCAGGGGAUGAGCUUGCGUCCGAUUAGCUAGUUGGCGGGGCAACGGCCCACCAAGGCGACGAUCGGUGGCCGGCCUGAGAGGGUGAUCGGCCACAUUGGGACUGAGAUACGGCCCAGACUCCUACGGGAGGCAGCAGUAGGGAAUAUUGCACAAUGGGGGAAACCCUGAUGCAGCAACGCCACGUGUGGGAAGAAGCAUUUCGGUGUGUAAACCACUGUCGUGAGGGAAUAAGGCUACUUUUCGGAGUAGUUGAAUGUACCUCGAGAGGAAGCACCGGCAAACUUCGUGCCAGCAGCCGCGGUAAUACGAGGGGUGCAAGCGUUGUUCGGAAUCACUGGGCGUAAAGGGGGCGCAGGCGGAAGCUCAAGCGGAUUGUACAAUACCGGGGCCCAACCCCGGACCUGCAGUCCGAACUGGGUUUCUUGGAUAGUUCAGGGGCAAGCGGAAUUCCUGGUGUAGCGGUGGAAUGCGUAGAGAUCAGGAAGAACACCGAUGGCGAAGGCAGCUUGCUGGGGACUUAUCGACGCUCAUGCUCGAAAGUGCGGGUAGCAAACAGGAUUAGAUACCCUGGUAGUCCGCACCGUAAACGAUGCAUACUGGGUGUCCGCGGUUCGCCGCGGGUACCGUAGCCAACGCGUUAAGUAUGCUGCCUGGGGGAGUACGUACGCAAGUAUGAAACUCAAAGGAAUUGACGGGGGCCCGCACAAGCGGUGGAGCAUGUGG
rnacentral:rRNA from 1 species